rnacentral:rRNA from 1 species
AGCGAACGCUGGCGGCAGGCUUAACACAUGCAAGUCGAGCGGGCACCUUUCGGGGUGUCAGCGGCGGACGGGUGAGUAACGCGUGGGAACGUGCCCUCUGGUUCGGAAUAACUCAGGGAAACUUGAGCUAAUACCGGAUACGCCCUUUUGGGGAAAGGCUUGCUGCCGGAGGAUCGGCCCGCGUCUGAUUAGCUAGUUGGUGAGGUAACGGCUCACCAAGGCGACGAUCAGUAGCUGGUCUGAGAGGAUGAUCAGCCACACUGGGACUGAGACACGGCCCAGACUCCUACGGGAGGCAGCAGUGGGGAAUAUUGGACAAUGGGCGCAAGCCUGAUCCAGCCAUGCCGCGUGAGUGAUGAAGGCAUUAGGGUUGUAAAGCUCUUUUAUCCGGGACGAUAAUGACGGUACCGGAGGAAUAAGCCCCGGCUAACUUCGUG